UACGUAGGGUGCGAGCGUUGUCCGGAAUUAUUGGGCGUAAAGAGCUUGUAGGCGGUUUGUCGCGUCUGCUGUGAAAUCUCAAGGCUCAACCUUGAGCUUGCAGUGGGUACGGGCAGACUAGAGUGUGGUAGGGGAGACUGGAAUUCCCAGUGUAGAGGUGAAAUUCGUAGAUAUUGGGAAGAACACCGGUGGCGAAGGCGGGUCUCUGGACAGUUCCUGACACUGAGGCACGAAGGCCAGGGGAGCAAACGGG
rnacentral:rRNA from 1 species